UUCUUAGUCCCAACGGUUAGACGAACUGACCUAGGUUAUCCUCAACUUUACCAACUGGCAAAGGUCCAAGGAAAUGCAGAGGAGAAUCAUGGCGACAGGAGACCGACUCAGUGACUUGCCCGACCCGAUUCUACUCCGGAUACUGUCUACGUUGCUGGACAGUAAAGCAGUUGUGAGAACGAGCAUAUUAUCUACACGAUGGCAGUUUCUUUGGAUGUCCGUUCCAGCACAACUCUAUUUCGACCACCCCCAUAUCUCCAGGGAAAAAGAGAUUCCUAUUCAUGAUUUCUUAGCUUCGACCAAUAGAGAGCUUUAUUAUUGGAGGUCUUGCCAUAAAAUCCUAACAUUCAGGGGCUUUCUCUUUAGGUACGACAAGAGUUAUGUUAAAGAUGUUGAUUUAUGGGUACAUUUUGCAAUUAAAGUAGCUAAUGUUGAAGAUUUUACACUUGGCUUUCGCUGCAGUACUAACCCUAAAUAUGAGCUUCCUUAGUUCGUAUAUAAGAAUACGUCGUUGAGGAGUUUGAUUUUGAUUAACUGUGAACUGAACCAUUUUGGUACUGUUAACUGGAGUAGUCUCGUUUUCCUUUCAAUUGCCACCCCGAAUUUGACGGAUAAUAUAUUGGAGAAGAUAUUAUCGGGUUGCCCUAACUUGGAGAGCUUGGAACUGGAUGUGUUGGGCAUUAGUCGUUUGGAAAUCAGCUCUGUGAAGCUGGCAUAUUUGAGCAUAAAAGAUUACCAAAAUGAGAAUCCUGACAUAUUUUGAACUUUUCGGGUCAUGCGAUGAGAUAUGCUUGAGAGAUGUGGCUUCACUCGUCAGUGCUGUACUAUAUUCAAAUUUUGACCAUAUAGUAGAUGAAGAUCGCAACUCGGAGGAGGAAUGUAGCUAUUUGAAGGAACUUCUUCAUAGUGUUGCGCAUGUCGAGGAUCUUGAAUUGGGUCCCUGGGGCAUUGAGUGCCUUUCCAUACUGGAGUUGAAAGGCUGGCAAUCUCCACCAUCAAGCCGGAAAUAUUUAAACUUGACACAGCCUUAGAACAAUUGGACUUCCUUGGAAUUUGCAGUUUUCUACAGUGUUCGCCGGAUCUUCAGACAUUGGUCAUUGACUGGUGUAAUAAAAAACGAAGAGACCUGCUGUCAAGGUACACAAAUGAGGAUGAACACAUUAAGAGGUUCGAGACACAUAAUUAUAACUUCUCUUUGCUACAUUUGAAGACCAUCAAUAUGAUGGACCACUAAGUGGAAAUAAGUCUGUACUACCAUUGGUAAAAUAUUUGCUCAAGAAUGCAACAAUGCUAGAAAAGUUUGUUAUUGCAGCCAAAUUCGAAGGGAGUGAUAUUUCUCAAGAUUAUGUUAAAAUGGAACAGGAGUUCCAAAGCUUUCCAAGAGCCUCUCCGCAUGCUGAGUUGUCUUUUCUUAUGGAUAAUUCUUGAUCCCUAUUAUCUGUAUUGAUUGCAAUAUACUUAACACCUGUUACAUUUAUGUUUGAAACUGGUUUGUUGCUGAUAGACAAGGCUAGGAUUGUACUUGUUAGUAUCCAAGGACUUGUUAGUAGCUCUUCAUGUCUAAGUAACAAUGUGUUUAUUCUCUGAUCAUCUUGUAAGAAAGCUUGCUCUAAUUGUUUUGUGA